rnacentral:lncRNA from 1 species
GAUGAUUGCCUGUGUCGCUGGUCAUCAAAACAUAAGUUCUUUUCUUCAAUUUGCAGGGAUUUGAACGACGAGGGAUGGCCUGGAAAUGCUGCUAUGAAAGCUCUUGAGAAGUUACAAGAACUUGAGAAGAAAGAAUUACUAGAAAAUGAAAAUAGUGAUACCCAUGGAGAAAAAUCACUUCAUGCUGAUGUUGCAAGAUUAUCGACUGAUUUCAUCAGGUCAGAUCAAAAUUCAGUGACAGAAAAUGCCUCCGAAUUUGCCAUUGAUGCAGACACAGAGAUGAUAAGAAUCGAAGCAGAAAAAAUAAAGAUUAGAUCCCGGGAUAAUAGAUUUUUACUGGACGAACGUAGUGAUGUAGGCGACGAUGGAGAUUCUUGCCAAGGGAAUACGAGCAUUCAAUCUGAUCAUGUUGAGCUAGGGACAGGUACGUACAAGGAAGAAGAGUGUUUACCAACAAGACAAAGAGAAGCUCCUGAUCCGAAAGAGCAAGUUGAAUGACUACAUAUCCGUUUCUAGUGGAGAUGAUCUGUUAAGUUUCUUAUGAAUGAAGCUAUUUUCAUUGAUUUGAUACAUGGUACAUUGGUGUAUAUAUAAUAAACCAAGAAUAUGAUAUCUAAGGAAAUACAAUUAUGUUUGGGCAAAAUAUUUUGUAAAGGGAAAUAGAUUGCAUAAUUAUAUAUGAACUCCUUAAUCACAGCUAAUAUGAUCAAACUAUUCAUUGCCCGAGCAUAGAGGUGUAAAGCAUAGGGGUUGCGAAUCCAACGGAUGGACACUCGAAACGUGGCAAAGCUCACAAUUUCAACAUCAACAAUGUAAAUUCAAUUCUAGUACAAUCUUGAUCGAUGAGAUUUGCCUUUGUUAUAUAAACCUCUGAUCAUUAUACUAAAAUAUCCUUCAUUUUUUGUUGUUAGAUUGAAAAAUCUCCUUUUCCAUUAAAAAUACCAACUUCGAAAUGUGAAGACAUUUUUGAAAAACUAAACAAUCUAUUAGGCAAAUAGAUCACACAAAGUAAUCCUACAACCGCAAUAUACACUGUUCUAGAUUCCAAGGGUUUCGUAAGACUCGCGGUCUUAGAUCAAGGGAACAUGGGAACUGGUAAGCUCUAGGUAUUCUAACAAAGGUAACAACACAGCGAAAUUUACGAUGCAACAAAAUAGGUAUAUCCAAUCAAACGAAAUUUCACGACAAUUUUAGCACAAAGCACAAUACGCUAAUUUAUUCAAAAAUAAGUACUCAAUCGCAACAAUUAAGAGCAAAUAAUCCUAAUUUCUAACACAAGCAAUGGUUGCUAAGCAAUGACAUCCCCCAACUUAUUGUCACCCCACAUUGUGACGCGCUAAUGCUGAAAUUAACAGGUUAAGCCAAUUACCAGAGCGGACGUGUCUGAGUCCGUAUAAUCGAGAGAGAUGCGAAUCUGCUGCUUUAGGACCACCACUACUCGUCCUAAAGAUUCAGCAAAUAUAACCGUGCAGCCCGCCAAGAAAUGCAGUUUGAUUUCCAGGGGCAAAAUCGUCCAACUUUUUCUGUGUAACCUGAAACAGAAAACUUCCAACACGAAAAAUGUUUGAAAUAAUGUGAGGAACAAACUGCCAGAAAAAAACUUCCCCAGAAUCUGCUCCACACGCCCACACGCGCCACCACCGGAGAAGCCACGAGCCGCCGUCGCCCAGACGGGUCGGUUACCAGCACCGCCUCCAUCUGCAGAUCACGAAUCCGGCCUCCGUUUCACCAAAAGACGUCUGGAUUCUCCGAAAAUUGAAGUUGCAGAUCCGAUUUUUUUGGGAAAAAAUUCUGGACAUUUUUUAUUUUCUGAUUUUUGCCGGUUUUCUGAUGGGAUUUUGGCCGGAAAUUCCACCCCAACCUCUCUCUGAUAUCAAAUGUUGAAUAAUCGACCCCCAAUGGUGGAUUUUUCGGGCUCAAUUUAACCAAUCUCUAUCUUAUUAAACGCACCCAACAAAGGCUCCAACCCAAACAACGAUUCUUAUUACGGUUGCUCAACUCAAUGUGUUCACAAAAAACACAAUAUGGUGGCUGCAAUGAAUCACAAAGAAUAGAGGAAGACAGACUCAGUUUAAGGCUCAAAAGAGAAAACUAGAGAAAAAUGUAGGCUGCCUCUUUUCAAUUGCACACACACGGCUCCUUCACAAAUGAGAGUAAUAUAUAGGUUUAGGGUGUAAUAAUAUAAUGGGCUCAUGGACCAACUAAUGGUUAAAGGGGGAACACAAAUUGAGCCAUCCAAGAAGUAAAUGGACCGUGAGCAACAUUAACUAUAUUAAGUUGCUUCAAACAAUUCUCAAGUUGUUUUUCGAGUUGAGCCAAUUAAUCGAGUGUGUUAAUAAAUAUUUCAAUCAUCGGCCGAAGCCUAUGAAAUCUAAUCCGAUUAUCCAGCACUGUUUAAUAUCAUCGCCCGGGAUUAUUGGGUAUCAAAAACCCAACAAAAAAGUGCUAACACAUUUACAAAUUAAUAUGCAAUAUUAAGUUGUACUUAUCCUGGUAUAUAGAAUUCAUCUCCUAUCUCCUUGGGCAGGAUAAAUUUUCAUUGCCGACUUUCUUUGAAUCUAAGACCAUCAUAAUUAAGGUUGUCUUGCUUUGUUGAGAAGUUUUUAUCGGAAAUUAGGACUUGAAAACUAUCUCGAAAUAGGAUGAUUCAUCCGUAACCGUAAGUCAUUCGAGAAUGUUUAUAUUUUCACUUUCUUUAAUAAUUCCAAUCAUUUCUUGUUUAAAUAAUACAAAUUUUUUCCAACUAAUUUUGUAUUUAAUUAGUAAAAUAAUCUUUGGGAAAAUCCAAAGAGCACUAAAGUUUGAAAAUUUCAUGGCCUGCAAAUCGUUGUCUGCAUUAAUACACUCACAUAGGCGAAAAAAUCAAAGCUUGCCAAUGGCGGAAGAAAACGACGACACAAAAAUCCAAACCUUGUAUUUACAAUUGAAAUGGCACUAUCUUGAAAAAUUUCAACCUCAAUCAUCAGCGUAUGAUCAAAAUAAGAGAAAUCCUCAAUGGAAUCGAGCUCCAAUUCCACUUCAAGAUUUCGAUUCAGAGAUCAUAAUCAAGAAAUGGGCGAUGAUAAUUCCUCUGAAGGCCACACAAGUGUAGAUUAUUCUUCUGUAGCUAGCGAUGAAAAUGUCGAGGCCGAGCUUCAAUCCAUGACUGCUAAGGUUAAUCUAAAGCAUACUGACUCUUGAAUAAUCUACACCUCUAGUUCAUUGGGUUGCGAUUUUAGUUUCUUUUCCAUUCUUACUGUGUAUUUAUGUAUGUUUGUUUGUUUGCGAGUAAGCAUUUAUUUAUCAGAAUAUUGUCUGUUUAUUAUGAUCUAAUAGGGUGUUCAGCAUCUAUGUUCGGAACUUCUGGAAUUGAAGCAGGAGUCGGAUUUGGAUUUUCAGAAGAGCAUCUUUUCAAAUUACUCUGCCUUUCUUGCGUAAGUUCUUUAGCGAAUUAACUGUUUUUUGUCCUAAUUUACUGUUAUUGGAUUUGCAAAAUGGAAAAUGGGAAUUUGUUCACCAAGGUUACAAAUUUUUUGGGGCAGCUCUUGAUGUCAUUUUAAUUUUGUAUUGAUUCUGUAAUGCUCAAAUUGUUGCAUAAAUAAUCGAAAAUGUUGCUUUGAAAUUUGGCGUUUUUGCUUCAUUGGAGAUUCUCAGGCUUCAUAUCUUGUUGAAGAUAUGUAUAAACGACAUACAUUUGGCGUCAUCUAACAGUUUAAGCAUUUAUAUCAGGUGAUUCAACAUAUCUUGAUCCAAGAAUGUGUGUCCUACUUGAACCUGCAUCGCUGAUGAAACUAGUCUUAACUACAGUACAAUGCUUUUCACAUUUGGUAUCUAUUUACCAUUUCACUGACUGGCAUAAGGUAGCAAUAGGGCAUUGUGUAAUGAUGAAAUUAUCAAAGACAUUUUAGUUGUCCCAUCUUAGUUACCAUGUGAUAAUUGUUUGGUGUUUCUACUUUAGGAGAUCGUGUAGGUUAACUUAUGCCCUUUUUUAUGCUCGUUAAUUGCACCCUUCUAAAUUAAUCAAUUAGGCCCUCAGUGAAACCUGACACUGGUAAACAAGAAUUAAUCUAUUCAUAUUGCAGAAUAUUUAAAGAGAUAGAAGGCUUGCAAAGUGAACUGCUGCAACUGAAAUACCAGGCCUUAUCACAGAAGAAGCUCGUACAAGAUCUUAGAGAUGGCAUCGCUUUAAAUGUUCUAUCAGAAGAAACUAUAGAAUCAAUGCAAGAAGAACCUCUACAAGUGCAAGUAUUUUCUCCAAGCAUAUUGGAGACUCACACUGAAAAUGUUUCCGAACUCCUGGAUACUCUUCUUUCAGAACACAGGCACGAUGAUGCUCUUGCACUCCUUGAAAUGGAAGACGGGUAUUUCAAAAGUUUGCGGUUGGAGCAAAAUUUUUCCUCCAAUGAGUUAAUGUCCUACAACUCCAUGAUAUCAGAGAAGAGGGCUAUGCUUUCUGAUCAGAUCACAUUGGUGGCAAAAAAUUCCAGGGUGUCUGCACCAGAACUGCAGAAGGCAUUGCUUCGAUUGUGCCGACUUGGUGAUAGAAAUCUUGCAACUCAAUUACUGCUCCAGUAUUAUCAUUCACGCAUUGAAUUGGGUAUUCGUGAUUUGCAAUCUUCAAAAGAAUUUCUAGACUCGCUAUAUAUUCAAGAAGUAGCAAAAUUUGUAUGUUCUAUGAUCUCUCGAGCAGCAAGAAUUUUCGUAUCCUUAGAUGGAGAAACUUCUCCUCAUUCUUCGGACCUUAUUCAGUGGGCUGGUGAAGAAAUUGGAGUAUUUGCUGAUUGUUUCAAUAAAUUCUUUGCCUCCAUAUCAGAAAUAAGUGGUCGACUUUCAACAGCCAUAGAUACUAUGCAGAUUGCAAUGUCAUAUUGCUCUUUGCUGGAGAGUCAAAAGAUCAUCCUGCAACCAUUUUUGAUAAAGUGCAUUAGUCCUUGCAUCGAAGAAGUAUUGCAGGUCCAUAUAGAGCAUUUCAGACAAGUUAUUAGUAUUUUCACAUCGACUGAUACUUGGGUUGUUGGUAGAUAUUUUGGACCCAGAAUUAUAACAGAAAGGAGGGAUGCAAUAAUUGAUCAACAACCAGAGUGCUUAUUUCUCACUAACAGCGGGAGGAAGUUUGUGACAUUAUUUCAGGUUAGUGAAUAAAGUUUUCAGGAAUGUAUAUGUGCAGCAUAGUAUCUUUUUUGCUCGCUAUAGUCUCUAUACUUUAGACAGUGGAACAACUCUCGACUGGACAUUUGUCCUGCCUUAAUGACAUAUUAUAACUUGUAACUAAAAAGUUUUCCUAUAUUUUUAGUCAUUCACAGAGGACGUUGCGCCUUUAGUUGCCUUUCAAAUGGAAAGUUCAGUUCUGAAAGGAAUCAUGGACCUCUUCAAUGCGUAUAUUCUUAUCCUUGAAAGUGCCCUUUCGGGUGAUAAAGACUCCUCAGAAAAAGGAGGUUCCAAAGUGAAUUUCCCAGAGACGCCAGUACAGGAAGUUUCCAUUUUAGCCAGUUUGUCAACGCUGGUGCAAUUUGUCUCCAGCAUAGUUAAAAAUAUCUUUGACGGCAUUCACGACCUGGACUUUGGGAUUGAUAAUUACCUGCUGUUCAUUCAAGACACAUGCAGUCGACUUCGAACUUGUUUUAUUGAAGAAUUCAUAAACAACAUAGUAUCUCGAGAUGUCGACCAUCAAUGUAUUUCAGAAAGUCGCAUCAGCUGGCUGGACAAUUCAAAAAUUUACAAUCUAGUUCCCUCUCCAACUCACUUGGUAUGCNAAUGUAUUUCAGAAAGUCGCAUCAGCUGGCUGGACAAUUCAAAAAUUUACAAUCUAGUUCCCUCUCCAACUCACUUGGUAUGCUCAAGCUUUUAGAAAUUGAAGUGUCUAUUUAUGUAGAUUAAUUCUUGUACGGCAUCCUAAAAAUUCUGUGUAUUUGCGAGAUUAUAUGCUGAGGGAAGAGAUUUUGACGUUUUAUCUCGUUAUUUAUGGAAACUGAUUUUUGAAAUUGUAGCUGCUUCAGCUUUUCUCUAUCUUGUUUCCUGGAACCAGAAUAAUAAUUAUACAAAUUAAGGUCAAAUGGCAUAAUAUCUUAACACUCCAUAUUCCGUCUUUCUCGAAGUUUUUGAAUUUCUAAAAUUGUUAGCUUUUCUUGUUUCUUAUUCUUCAGUAGAGGGAAGAAUUACAAUUAAAAAAGGAAAAAAAUGUAAUUUAUUAAUAUCUUUGAUGUGUUUAAUGUCGUUCUACAACUAUAUUUGGUACAUGUUUAAGCUUAUGAACUUUUGCCUCUCGACUUCUCAAUUAUCAGGAACUGUAUCUAGAUCUAAAGAAAUUACAAAAGCUUGUUGGGGAUGAUUGUGUUGAUAACAAUUGGUUGAUGGGUCUUCUCGAGGAUCUGGUGGGAGCCACAUUUGCGUGGAUUUCAAGUAAAUCAGAAAUUUGGUCAAUUAACAAAGAGGAUUUGGCUGAUCAUCACGCCGAUUUCAUGCAGGUAUGCUUUUCCUACCGUUCUAGUAUUUAGUCGAAUUGCAUUAAUUUUGCCACCGAUGCAAAUUAUUGAUGGAGAUGAAUGUAGUUCAUUAUGUAUAUGGGAUUUUGCACUCAUGCGUCUUCUAUGAUCACAUUUAAGCAUGUACAUUUUAGUUCUCUUUUAUUAAAAUUCUCUUGUUUCCAUGGCAGUUUAUCCUCGAUACACAGUUUCUGGUAGAAAUUGCAAGAUUUGGAGGAUACUUGUCCGAUGACAUAAUAAACGCCUUUUUGGAUAUCAUAUCCCGUCUAGAAUCAUCCUUCAUUUCUUCCGGAUUUAAUCCAGUGAGGUAACUUCUGUGCAUUAUAACAAUGAAAAUUUUAGAACUGAUGAUUGCCUGUGUCGCUGGUCAUCAAAACAUAAGUUCUUUUCUUCAAUUUGCAGGGAUUUGAACGACGAUGGAUGGCCUGGAAAUGCUGCUACGAAAGCUCUUGAGAAGUUACAAGAACUUGAAGAGAAAGAAUUACUAGAAAAUGAAAAUAGUGAUACCCCUGGAGAAGAAUCACUUCAUGCUGAUGCUGCAAGAUUAUCGACUGAUUUCAU